GUGCAUUGACUUGUCCAAUCGCUCUAACUAACUUUCUUCCAAAGUGCAAUGCAAUCUCAGAACGUCUACAUAGGGUGACAAAAUGUUUCGCGUUAACUGAGCAUGUACAAAGUCGCAAUAUGCCAUUAAGCAGAUAUCAAUAACAGUGUAUGCAUGUCUGGCUUCUUAUCUACGUUGAGUAAACCCCUUAGGUACGCUCAAUGCCCAAACCUGGGCUCAAAUAGCACGCCUUAUGCUGUCGUUCCUCGAUAAGCACUAAUACUGUAUCGACAGGGUUACAGCAUAUGUAUCAGAUAGAUACCUACCUUUCCAGUGCAGAAAUUGAUAAUAAUAGGUACCGGACAGGCCAACCACCAGCAUCUUCGGACAUUGCAAUUAAUUGUAAGCCUAGCCAGGCAGCUAGACUACAUACUACAACACAGCCACUACUAUUUUGCUGUUUCUCUGUCUACGACCCCGAGGCGAAAUGUCAUUGGCCAAUGGCACUCAAGGAACAAGAGCAAAUAAAUUUCAAAAAUUCCAUCGGGUUCCCAAGAUAUGAGCAAAAAUGUAAAC